rnacentral:lncRNA from 1 species
CUCUCUGAAGGCUGAGCACCAGGUGGACCUGACUCUUACCUUCCUCCAGCCAGUUACAUCAACUCUUUGUGCUAAGGAGCCAUGCCAGAUACUGCUUCCUGUGGCCCUGCUUGCGGACCUGCUGAAAGAGGACGAACAGAUCCCAGGCGGCCUUACCCUGAUCUCCACAGGCCUGUCUGAUCCUGUGGCAUCCUUCCCCGCUUCUUUCGUCAGUCAGGCAGAGUAUCUCUGGACACUUGAACAGAGACCUGAAGAAGACAGCCUUCUACAUGCAUUUCCUGAAGCCAAGGCUGGCUUCAUGUGCAGGCAAACAGUAGCAGACAGUGCUGGGUGCUCUCAGAGACUUCCCUUCCCCACACACCCAAACUUCUGACUCUUCUGCUGGAUGGAGAUCCCUUGAACAGCUCAACUUGAUAUAUGUGACAACUAUCUAGAGUGUUUAUACAAAGUCCUGAUGGUUGGGUCCCACCCACACCGAAUGAAUCUGACUCUCUGGGGUUGGUCCCAGGCAACAAAGGGUACUUUUGAAAAGUUUCCUGGGUGAUUCUGACGUGCAGCCAAGUUGAGAAGUGCUGGCCUAGACC